rnacentral:lncRNA from 1 species
GCCAUCUUCCCUAGUUUUUGAUGAUUAGUUAGUUUGUGCUUUGAAUUUACUCUCCUUGUUUUACUACGAAGAAGCAAUUCCAUUGAUUAGAAGAAAAUGUCUAUUCUGAGGGCCUUAUGAGUUUUGGCUGCUAUAUAAUCAUAAAAUUUUGUAGUUCUUUUUCCUGUACCCUUAGUUCAAGUAUGUCUGCCACACAAUCAAAUAACAGAAGGUUGCGCCCUUGGAAAUACCAGAUGAUUUUCAGUCACUUCUUGCAUGAUCAUUCACUGCUCACUUUAAAUCAUUUGAACAUUACAGUAGCCUAGCCUCAAAGAUUCACAUUUCUCAGAAAUUAUACCUCAGGUUAGCUUUUGAAUUGCUAUCUUUCUAUCAUGGGAAGUCGUGUUUGAGUGUCUAUAUACCGCAAAGAACAGAAGGUUGUGCACUUGGGAGUACCAGCUGAUCGUCAGCCGCUGCUUUGCAUGUUCAUUCCAUGCUCGAUUUAACUCAUUUGAACGUUCUGAUAACCUCGAAGAUGCACAUUUUCCAAGAAACUAUAUCAUGACCAGGUCUGCUAUCGAAUUGUUAUCUUUCAAUCAUGGGAAGUCGUGUUCUAGGGUCCAUAUAUCCGUUUGUGCUGCCUGACAAAUAAUAUAUUGCUUAAUCCAUAUGGUCUGCAAGUCGGCGCGUCGUCAAUAUGCUUAUUUUGCUUAAAAAACAGCUGCCCGCUUGUGUUCUCCAAGUUUUAUUUCCGUCACGCUUGAGAACUCGGAUGGUUUCAUGACGUUUAAUUCGUUUCCCCGCAGGCAUCAUCCGUGAGGAAGUGUGGUUGCACCGGAUCUACGCGCGCAGCAAUAAGGAACUCAUUUCCCUCAUCAAAAUGACUCUGAUUGCAUUCCCUUCUGUUUCAUUUUUAUCCUUGAACUGCCCCAGUUGGUUCAUCUGCUGAAUGGUUACUUUGACAAACUUCCUGUUCGGCAAGAUACCUGAAAUGCUUUGUAUCUGUUGAUUUUCAGUCUUUGUAACAUGAUGAAUGCUUUCAAUAAUCUCAUGCGCACAUGUUUUUCCUUUCGGUAUUUGAAAAUCUUCUGAUGAUACGAGUUUUUUGGUGGUUCAAUUAUCUUGCCGCGCGCAUGGUUGAGGCCUGUGAGUUCUUAGGCUGGCCUUGCUGCUCUGGUUUAUCAAAUGUUAAUGGCAACGAAUCACGUGAAAACCGAUUUUUUUGGUGCAAAUCUGAAAAUUCCAACCAGAGCCAUCGGAUCCUGAACGGAUUCCUCCGCCUCAAACGCCCGGGCACGCUUGGGCGGAUGGCCCGGUCAGACGGGCUUCUCAAAUGCGCCUCUCAUAUCCAGCUUAAAUAUGGGAUGGAUAUGGGGGUCGAUAUGGGGGUGCCUGGGGGUCGAUAUGGGGGUGCCUGGGCGCGUCCACCACGUUGGACUGACGUCGAAGCUUGUCUCCUCCUUCGGAUUGAUGGCAUCGUGUGGUGACACUUUGACCGGUUGCGUAGUGGUUAGCCUGGCUAGUUAAGCUGGCCGCCGGCACCGAAACCCUACCCGCUCACAUUUUCCAUUCAUGUCCGCUGUCGUUGUCACUUUCCACUCCUCGUCCGUCACCACUAGUAGACAUUCCCCCGCUCUGCCACCACUAGUAGACAUUCCCCUGCUCUGCCACCACUGGUAGACAUGCUCCCCCUCCCCCCGCGUCGGGUAAGGAGCCCUCCAUAUCUAACAUCCAAGCGCGGGCCGCAACUCCUUAAGCAGAUCCGGGAAAGGUGCGAAGCCCGGAUCGCCGUGGGGCUACUUUCGAAUGCAGUAGAUUCGGAGGACUUGAGGAGGAGGAGGAGGAAGAGCCGGAGGAGGAUGUGGGGGACGCUCGGGACGCGGAUCUGCAGGCGGAGCAACAUGCCAUCCUCGAUUCCCCCCGCUUGGAGUCGGAUGCGAAGGCCAGAUUCCGCCGUCGGGAGGAAAUGGAGGUGGAGCACGCCGCAGAGGAGGAGGAGGAGCCAGAGCCCUCCUACGCGCCCGUCCACCCGACGCCCGGCACCGAUGUCUUGGACAUCUCCGACGAUGAAUUGUAGCUAGGGUACCGUAGUACGCAGGUUUAUUUUGCAUGGUUUGUAGGGCUCUAUGGGGUAAAAUAUGAGAAACUCAGAUGCAGAGAAGCAAAUUUGAAACGUGACUGGUCUCUGUCCACAGACGUGCCCGGACGUGUCCGUAGACAUUUGAGGGCCGGAUUUGGAAAGUCCGGCCAGCCUUAGGAAGACGCCAACCAGUUCCUCACCAUAGAUCCAUACGGGCACACUCCCCACAAAUCAGCACCGCCGCAUCCCCCGUCCCACGCAAACCCGCGACGGAGAGAAUGGCGAGCGCGGGGAGGAACCAGCGCCGGCGGGCGGAGGAGGCGCCGGGGGCGGGCCUGGACGACCUGAUGUCGCUCCCGCCGGAGAUGCUCAACGAGAUCCUCGCUCGGCUCCCCUUCGAGGAGCUGGUCCGCACCUGCCGCCUCUCCCGCGCCUGGCGCCGCCGCUGGGAAUCCGUCCCCGGCCUCGACAUCCAGUUCGACGACCCGUGGUCCGACGCCGCGCCCGACGCCCGCGCCCUGUGGCGAUGCUCCGCGCCCGUCGGCGGCUUCACCGCCCUCGUCCGCAUGGGCCACUUCCACCGCGCCGCCCGCUGGCUCCUAGCCCUGGCGCGCAAGCGCGUCCAGAAGCUCGUCCCCAGGUUCGACUACCCCGACUCGGCCCCCGUCGUCGGCCCCGCCCUCUUCUCCUGCGCCGCGCUCACCGACCUCGAGCUCUACGGCUACUGCCACCUGCCGCGCGCCCCGCCGGGCUUCCAAGGCUUCCCCAACCUCGUCACCCUCGUCCUCGACAACCUGCUCCUCCGUCUCCCCGGCGCCGCGGCGCAGCUCCAGCGCCUCAUCUCCUCGGCGCCCGGCCUCAGGGAGCUCUCGCUGCACAACCUGAAAGCCGGCAGGGCCCGGGCUGGCCUCGAAAUCUGCGCCAUCCGGGCGCCCAGCCUCCGUAUCCUCAGGCUCUUCAUCUCCAUCUUCCUCGACAACGGAUGCCGGCUCGCGGAGGACCUCCAGUUGCUGGAGGUGGCGUCCAUCUCCAUCGAUGCACUGUUAGGGACCCCAGCCUUCGUCGACACUUUUCGACAGAUUUCUAAUGUCAAUACGCUUUUCUUCUACACCGACUCAAAACAGGUACCCUACAUUGCGUCAAAUAUCCAUGGAGCAAUGAGUAUUGAGUAGUCGAAUUCUGAAUUUCAGUUGCAUGCUCAAUUCUAGUUCUGUAAAUUUCUUGCUGUAAACUGCAUUUUUGUCUGGUCGUCAUGACGAGCCAGCGGGUCAGGUCGAUGUUUGCCUUAAAAUGGAUGUCAAAUGCAGUUCAGAGUCUCCAUAAAUGCUUAAUGUUCCAGGGAGUAUCCAUCUGACCAAAUCGAGCCUGGGCCUAAGUUUUUCCAUAUCAAAGUUCUGUAACUUGUCCUCGUAAAUGCCCGGCUUCCAAUUUGAGGCGGCAUACUAACCUCGUAAGGUGAUGUUCGUUUGGUAGUAGGAUAGUAGAUCCAUUGUCUUUUAGUUGGACAAAAGCUGUGAGCCCUCCGUAAUGUGCAGUUGGUUAUGCUUAUGUUGCUGUGUUAGUUUUUUUCCAUCUUGUGUUUAUCUUAGUUGGAAGAAGCACACUGAUGUUUGUGAGUUGUGACUUGUGUCCCCUGCUCACCAUGUUGCCAAAACCUAAUAGAAGAGACAAGUUGCUGUUUCACACUGAAGCAGCAUCUUAACAAAAUAACAAGAGUUCUUUUACGGUACCUGAAAUAAAUAUGAGACGUCCGUUUUGGCAACUUGUUAUGAACUUGUUAAAACUAAUUGUCUCUUGGGGUUGUGAACUCUUGGGAUGUGUCCGGUUUUUCAUCCCUUUCUACAAAGGUUCAACCCUAAAUUUUUAAUUUAUUAAGAGGAUUGCAUUAUCGUGUGGGUAUGCCCCGCAAGUAGGCCACAAUGAGAACACCAAGAGGGAGUUCUGGGAAGGCCUGGAAGACAUGGUUAGGAGCGUAUCGAUUGGUGAGAAGCUCUUCAUAUGAGGAGACCUCAAUGGCCACGUGGGUACAUCUAACACAGGUUUUGAAGGGGCGCAUGGGGGCUUUGGCUAUGGCAUCAGGAAUCAAGAAGGAGAAGAUGUCUUAAGCUUUGCUCUAGCCUACAACAUGAUUGUAGCUAACACCCUCUUUAGAAAGGGAGAAUCACAUCCGGUGACUUUUAGUAGUGGCCAACACUCUAGCCAGAUUGAUUUCAUCCUCUCGAGAAGAGAAGAUAGGCGUGCGUGCCUAGACUGUAAGGUGAUACUUGGAGAGAGUGUUGUACCCCAGCAUAAGCUGGUGGUUGCUGACUUCCGCUUUCGGAUUCAUGUCCAGCGGGAUAAGCAUGCCAAAGUCGCUAGAACGAAGUGGUGGGAGCUCAAGGGGGAGGUAGCUCAGGCGUUCAAGGAGAGGGUCAUUAAGGAGGGCCCUUGGGAGGAAGGAGGGGAUGCAGACAAUGUGUGGAUGAAGAUGGCGACUUGCAUUCGUAAGGUGGCCUCGGAGGAGUUUGGAGUGUCCAGGGGAAGGAGGAGCGAAGAUAAGGAUACCUGGUGGUGGAAUGAUGAUGUCCAGAAGGCGAUUAAAGAGAAGAAAGAUUGCUUCAGACGCCUAUACCUGGAUAGGAGUGCAGACAACAUAGAGAAGUACAAGAUGGCGAAGAAGGCCACAAAGCGAGCUGUUGGUGAAGCAAGGGGUCGGGCAUAUGAGGACCUCUACCAACGGUUGAGCAUGAAGGAAGGCGAAAGGGACAUCUAUAAGAUGGCCAAGAUCCGAGAGAGGAAGACGAGGGAUAUUGGCCAAGUCAAAUGCAUCAAGGACGAAGCAGACCAACUCUUGGUGAAGGACGAGGAGAUUAAGCAUAGAUGGCGGGAGUACUUCGACAAGCUGUUCAAUGGGGAGAAUGAGAGUUCUACCAUUGAACUGGCCAACUCCUUUGAUGAGACCAUCAUGCGUUUUGUGCGGCGAAUCCAGUAGUCUGAGAUCAAGGAGGCUUUAAAAAGGAUGAAAGGAGGCAAGGCGAUGGGCCCUGAGGUGUGGAAAGGUCUCGGCGACAUAGCGAUAGUAUGGCUAACCAAGCUUUUCAACCUCAUUUUUCGGGCAAACAAGACGCCAGAAGAAUGGAGACGGAAUAUAUUAGUACCAAUCUUCAAGAACAAGGGGGAUGUUCAGAGUUGUACUAAUUACCGUGGAAUUAGGCUGAUGAGCCAUACAAUGAAGCUACGGGAGAGAGUCAUUGAGCACCGCUUAAGAAGAAUGACAAGCGUGACAAAAAAUCAGUUUGGUUUCAUGCCUGGGAGGUCGACCAUGGAAGCCAUUUUCUUGGUACGACAACUUAUGGAGAGAUAUAGGGAGCAAAAGAAGGACUUGCAUAUGGUGUUCAUUGACUUGGAGAAGGCCUAUGAUAAGAUACAGCGGAAUGUCAUGUGGUGGGCCUUGGAGAAACACAAAGUCCCAGCAAAGUACAUUACCCUCAUCAAGGACAUGUACGAUAAUGUUGUGACAAGUGUUCGAACAAGUGAUGCCUGACACUGAUGACUUCCCGAUUAAGAUAUGAUUGCAUCAGGGGUCAGCUUUGAGCCCUUACCUUUUUGCAUUGGUGAUGGUUGGGGUCACAAGGGAUAUACAGGGAGAUAUCCCAUGGUGUAUGCUCUUUGCGGAUGAUGUGGUGCUAGUUGACGAUAGUCGGACGGGGGUAAAUAGGAAGUUAAAGUUAUGGAGACAAACCUUGGAAUCGAAAGGGUUUAGGCUUAGUAGAACUAAAAAUGAGUACAUGAUGUGCGGUUUCAGUACUACUAGGUGUGAGGAGGAGGAGGUUAGCCUUGAUGGCCUGCUGGUACCUCAGAAGGACACCUUUCGGUAUUUGGGGUCAAUGCUGCAGGAGGAUGGGGGUAUUGAUGAAGAUGUGAACCAUCGAAUCAAAGUCGGAUGGAUGAAGUGGCGCCAAGCUUCUGGCAUUCUCUGUGACAAGAGAGUGCCACAAAAGAUAAGAGGCAAGUUCUACAGGACGGCGGUUCGACCCGCAAUGUUAUAUAGCGCUGAAUGUUGGCCGACUAAAAGGCGACAUGUUCAACAGUUAGGUGUGGCGGAGAUGUGUAUGUUGAGAUGGAUAUGUGGCCACACGAGUAAGGAUCGAGUCCGGAAUGAUGAUAUACGAGAUAGAGUUGGUGAUGUAGGGCGGAACCCUAGUUGCCGAUCUUUCACGUUUGGAGGGGAAUCCUACCAAGAACACGAAGAACAAACAGAGGGAAGCGAGAGGAAAACAUGAGAAAACACUCAACCAACGAGAAUAAAGUCACACAUGUGCUAGAUCAUCGAGACACAAAGAGAUACACGAUCCAUAAUCAACAAGGGACGAUACAUAGGGUAACCGGUUCUUCUCUGAGAGGAGGUCUUGAAUCCGCGAGGGGAUCUUCCCGUAAAGGGGUCUUGAAUUCAGGUGGAUCUUCUCCGAAGAGGCCGCAGUCUCUCACGAGGAGGAGAUCCGUAUGGAUGAGCAAAUCUCUAUCUCAAAUGAGCUAAACCAAUGCUAACCCUAAAACGUAGGUGGAGGGGGAGUAUAUAUAGUCUAAGGGGUACAUGGGCUUUCGGCCCGGAUACACUGCACGCAGGAAGUACGGGCCGGAUGUCCGGGCGUUGGGGCUGAAUGUCCGGGCUGGCGAGAUCUAGCUUCUGGACGUUUUGUGACGGGGCGUCGGAUGUCUGGGCUGUGGCCGGAUGUCUGGCGGCUCGCGAGGGGCCGGAUGUCCGGGCUAGCUUGGCCGACUCUGGUGCUCUCUGGAUAGAAGGGGGCCGGAUUUCCGGGCGUUGGGCCGAAUGUCCGGGCUUGGCCGGAUGUCCGGCUGCUGUAGCAGCAGGCUCUUCUUCCUUCUCCUUCCUUCGCUCCCGCGCACACUUGGCCUUGGUCCUUGGGCUCUCCAUGGUCUCCUCGGGUGUACCUGAGUAUGCACAAGGUCCGCUCUUGAGGUAGCAUCCAUGUCUUACAUGCAGAAAGGGAAGAUUCGGAAAGGAGCGAGUUCACCUUAGGUCCAAAGGUGUAUGCUCGAGGGCUCAUCGUAUGGACAUUUGGGGCUUGGGGAGUAGUCAUAGUGUACAUGGGGAUGAUCGUAGGAUGCUCCGCAUCAUCUCCCCCCCCCCCCCCGGGGAAAGAUCCGACCUCGGAUCGUGAUCCUCAGCACCAUGGAAACGGUUGUCGUGGACGGAGUUGAAGGCAUGACGCAAUCCAAGUACUCCAAGGUGUCUCCGGUAUGUGGUACAUGCAAAAUGAGCAAACACAAGCGACACUCGGAAAUACAAUGGUUAGCGCACUCAAAAUGUCCAUCAAUUAAGCGUGAGUCCGUGCGAAUGGGUAGUGCGUGACAAAGCGCAUGAAGCUUAUCAAGAUGAUAUAGAAUGAUAUGCAAAGCAUUCAUGGGAUAAUUAGCAUGGUGCACAAAGCUGCAAAUUCUACCAUUGUGCAAAAUGAUGUCAUAGAGAGACGGUUUAUCAAGAGCAUGAACAUGGCAAUGGAUGCUCAAGAUGUGUAUGUAAUCAUGCAAUUGAUGGUAGGCAAUAUGAUCAUGUUGUAUGAAUAUACCAUCGAGGAAGAUCACAACAAAUUUGCUAAGUGAACAAGCUCAUAUAUCAUGGCUGACAUGGGAAUACAAGAUGCAACAAGGCAAUUAUAAUGCGAGUCAAUCCAUGCAUAGGGUGCAAACUUGUGGUGAGUAUGAAAUGUCCAUCGAGCAUGACAUAUAUGAGCACAAUCAACAAAUAUGGAGGUGUUGGUGUACCAAUGCUCGAUGUCGUGGCAUGAGUGGAGUUCCGAAGGUGCAUCCAAUAAGUGCGAGCGCUCCUCAAUGUGAAGGUCCAUAGAGCCAAUCGUCAAUGCCGGUCCUCCCUCGAAUAGAUGUAUCAUGUAGACAAGAAGAAGGAAACAACAAUGAAAGAGUGACCCAUCCAAUAUGCGUAUUUGAGGAUGGCUCAAAGAGAGGGAGUUCAUCUUUAUGAGAAUGUCGAAAAUGUUGGUGUCGCACAUCGUGUAUGCCUUCCCAUGACCAAGUUGUCUCAUCAUGGUUCCGCCUUGUGAAUCCUUCAAAAUGAAAGAACAUGGCAAACACUCGGAAAAACAAAUGAGGUUAGUGCAAAUGCAACACCUAUCAUUCGUGAGGUAAGAUACCCAACAAGUAUAUGCAUCAUGCUCAUCAUAAGAAAGGACAAGGGAGCAUUUCAUAGUAUGGAGGCAUGUGAUGCAAGAACAACCAAAUACAAGAGGCUCAAGUAAACAAGCAUGCAUCACAAGGUGUCAAAGUCUCCAAGAUCAAUAAGCAUAGUAUGGUUGCACUCAAUACAAGUGGAUAUGAAAGAGUCAACUAAUGGACCCAAGAGACAAUGAUCAAGAUAUAUCAUGUGAGAGGCGUGAGCAUAUAUGUCAUUAACCCAAGAAAGCAAGUAAUAGUGGAACAUGGGUGAUGCAACAUAGCAAGCCAUCAUAGCGAUUAAGUCAAGCAAGCUAGUAGUGCGAAGAUGCAACAUACUAGAAGGAAUCAUGGCAAGCAUGUCAUGUGUGCAAAUAGUGGGCAUGAAUAAUUCACAUGUCAUAGCACAAGCAUGAAAGCAAGAUAUGAGUAGAAUAACAUGAAUGUAUUGGUGAGACGCCAUGUGUAAAUAGCAAUGGGACAUCAUGACUCUCCCAACACCACAAUCAACAAUAGCAUGAAGCACAUGGUAAGCAUGGCAAUAGCAACAAGGAUCUCCACCAAGCAUGCAAAUACACAUAGUAGUAGCAUAAUGGUGAAUCAUGGGUAGAUGCAAGCAAGGGUCACAAUUGCAUGGCAAAGGCAUAGGAGCGAAAAUAACAUGCAAAGUGAACACGGUAAAAUGAGCAUAAGGUGACAAGUGAUAUAUAGCCCAUAGCCGUGUGAGAGCUAAGUAGAAGAGAUGCGCGUAGUCCUUGCGCGAAGGGAACGGUGGUAAGGAUAGUCCACGGAAUCUCAAACCGUCGUUGCUCUCAAGAGCUCGUUUCGUCAACUUUUGGGAUUGAGAGGUUGACGAGUAUACAUGAGUACCUACACAAAACAAGGGCAAAGGGAAAAUUGUGUGUGCGUGAUAGAUGUACACAUCAUCCAUCAUGAUGCGCACGUGCAUGUGUCGGUUAGCACAAAAUAUCAAAUGCUCAAAUAAAUGAGGUGCGUGAUAUAGAAACAUGUCAUCCAUCAUAAGAGGUUUGUUAUUAUGUAUAGCAUAAUGGAGACUCAAAUUGUGUAAAUGCAUCACGAGCAAUAUCUAGAGCACUGUUAUUCAUGGAAUGCAUAUGGUGUACACUAUCAUGGGAAUCAUGCAAAGUAUGGAAUGCAUCAAAAUCUCCUAAUAUGUAUGAGGAAACUAUGGGGGUCUCCUCUUGAGCAUGAGUAGCAACAUCACAUGAAGAAUAUUGACAACAUCCAAGACAAAGCAUAUUUGGUUCAAUGUGAUCAUGGCAUGGCAUAGUAGAUGAAUUGCGCAAAUCAUGUAAAGGAAGCAUGGCAAUAUCAUCACAUGAAAAACAAAAGCCAAUGACCAUCAUCUCGUCAUCUAUGACAUAAGUGCAAAUAGGAUUUAUUUUAAUGGGGCAUGCAUAGUUACUAUGUUGAGAUUGAAAUGAUGCAAUAUGGGAGAUCUCACUCAUAGCAUAUGACAAGUUCAAUGGUUUGUCAAACAUGACGGUGACCAAAAGAAUUUUCACAUGAUAUCCUAUGAAGCAUAGCAUCACAACUAGGCAACUCAACAUGCUCAUCAUCAUAUUCAUCAUAAAUAGGUAAGUCAUGACAUGAGGAAGUCGCACUAGCAUGAAGCAUGGGAAUAGGUGGACCAACAUCAUGCAAGCAAUCAUUGUCAAGAGAGUCCAUUAGUGGGACAAGGGAAGCACCAUCACCUAUGUUAUCUUUGGAGCGUCGCUCAUGUGUUGUAGGUGAGGCGUUGAAGAUCCACUCGUGGUCAUCUUCAUCUUGAUGGGACCAUGUGGGGGGUGCAUCAUUGUCCACCAUGGCCAUCGUCGUCUCCAUUGGAGGUGUGUACUCGUCGAGGAUAGGCAUGUCGUCAUGUAGGAGACCUUAGCACCAAAGAAGAAAACACACUAGGAGUAGAGGUUAAGUCGUUAGAAAUCAUAGUGGCCUUACGUGCCCUCUCAACUACCUCACUCUAAGUGUUGUGGCUCACUCACUCCCUCAAAGAUGCACUCACUCAUAUGGUUGGUGGAGUCACUCAAAUGGCGCUCAACCUCACAUAGGAUGUGUGGCAUACUCUCAUGUGUGGGGCUAGUGGUGGUCACACUCAUCCUUUCAUGGGAAAUGCUCUCAAUGUCACGUAUGGUGGAGUCACUCAUCUCACUCAUGGGGUGGUGGCUCUCCUCACAUGACAAAUGGGGCAUCUCGACAUAUGUGGGUGUCGGAGAGAUGUAGGUGCAAAUGUCUCCAUGCGCGGUCGCGCAGCUUGACUCGGAGUAUGAGUCCAAUAUGGGCGCCGUCUUCAUGUUGUUGAAGAGGUUCGCGCUCGUCGCCGUGGUCGAAGGGGAUGGCCCUUGCUCGACAUUCUUGUCGCCGUCUUGGUGUGGGAGGCCCAUAUGAUGUGGCACCUCGUAGCUCGUCUCCAUGACCGAAGGGAAUUUCCCAUGCUCGGCCAUCUUCCUUGAGGGGCUUCCGAAGAUGGAAGUGUCGCCCUCGCUCGUAGGUAGUCGCCUUGGACUUGAUGAAGUCGAUGUAGGCGUACACGUGGGAAGUAAGCGAAGAUGCCGUACGUCCAAAGGCGAAGAUGCCUUGAUAGCACUUGGCGAAGAUGCCGAAGUGGUGGUGGUAGCCGUAGCUCUGUCUUGGUGGUGCUUGUCUCGCGGUCUUCUCUUUUGCUCAUGAAGCUUGGACUUGGCGUGAAGUAGGGCUUGGUGGGACCUGUGCAUUUGCGCUUGUGGAGCAUCUUCAUGAUGAUGGUGUCGUUGUCGUACUUGAGCUCGUAGUAGAUGUCGUUCGUCGUCAAAUUGCACACGAUGCUUGGAGGUGACUUGACCUUCAUGACGAUGUUGAUCACGAACAUGAUGGUGGUCAUCACAAAGAUGUGGACGUGGACGAAUUUCGCUUGCAUCAUUUUCGCGCUCUGAAGACUUGUGGCUUGAAUGUCGCCGCCUUGAAGAUGACGCAGGGGAAGAAGACUUGAUCAAGGCUCUAAUCUCCUCCAUCCUUGCAUCUUGCUCCUCUUUAUGUGCGGAAAGCUUCUUGUCGAUGUAGUCCCUUUUCCUUGCUUCGGAGUGACGAAUGUCGAUGGAGAUGUUCUCGAUGCGCUCUCGCAUUCUUGAUUGUGCGCCUUGCAUUUGUUGUUGUAGAUCGAAGAUGGACGCUUUGGUGAUGUAGUUGUUCACGCCGUCGUGGUUGUCGAAGACCGGAGAGGAAAUGCCUUGCCUAUCCAUCACAAGACUCGAGCAAAUAUGAGUGGGAGAAAGAGAAUAACUAGACCAAAUGUACCUUAACCAAUGUUGAAGAUGGAUCAAUGAUCACUCAAAUGUGUAACAAGGAAAUAGCACAAUUGGUACCAAUUCUUGUCGGUUCUCACACCUACACAAGUAAAGCUUAUAGUGGAGCUCGGUGAGGAUAGUGGCACAAAAAUUUGAUGCAAAAUGUUAGCAAGAGUCAAUAAUAUUGAAAGAGAUUCACAAAUUUGCAAGCGAAACAAGUAGACCAAUAGCAAUGAAAGGUACACGGAAACACACACGGAUAGAUAAAUGGGGUCGUGCAACCAAGGAAUGAGCACAAAAUGUGGAAUCCACGGAAAACGCUCGUGUUGCACAACUCAAGAGAGACGCUAGCACGAUUGCUCAAUAGGCGGAUACGAAACUUGUGCACAACCUAUAAGAUGCAAAAUGUAGCAACUUUUAUUCCAAGUAUGCUAUAUGUGUGGUAUUUCGGUGAUAUGACAAUCUUAAUGUAGUAUGAUGCUAUGGUUCUUGUUUAUAAGCUCUUUACUUAUCUUUCCCUCUUUGCUUAAAAGCUUGUUUGGCUCUUUCACUUGUGAGCUCUUUUCUCAUGCAAAACUUCACGAACCAAGAUAGCAAUUGUGCAUGCUAUGACAACUUUGUGACACAAAAGAUGAUACCAAGAUAUGCACCACUAUGAUAUGGUAUGUAUUCUAUGGAGUAUGAUCACUAAUGUGCACAAGUUACGUUGCCGGCAAUACUCAAAGGCUAGUCUCGAUGGAUAAGCAACGCAAAAGUAAGGCUAUGUGGUUAUCAAUGCAAUGGCAUGGGGAAUAUACAAUGGAGGGAUACCAUGAUACCGAGAUGAUAUGGAGGUUACCGUCUGUGGCGAUGAUGAGUGGCAGUGUUCUUGAUGUAGAAACCAAGAUGAUGGAGACUCGUCCCUAAGUAGCCGAAACACCUUAGGAAACGGAAAAACCGCGAACUCAAAAUCUCAAACGUCAAAUGUCAAAAUGGUGGUAGUGGAAAGCGGUGGUGGUUUGCACUUGGCAAUGCGGAAGUGAAAUGAUGGGCUAUAUGUGUGUCGGAGUUGAAGAUGCUGUCCCUAAGUAGCCGAAACACCUUAGGAGACACAAGCCACAACUCAAACAAGCUCGAACAAAAAUUGGGUUAAGUUGGAUGGGUGGAAAUAUAUGGUGGGCAAGGUUAUGCGGAAAUGCUGGUGGUGGUUGAUGAAGAAGCAACCGCCCCUAAGUAGCCGAAACACCUUAGGAGACUCGAUUCACUACUCAAGCAACCACUAAAGCUAUAUGGAUCAAAAUGGGUUAGGUUGCGGAAGUCGGUGGUGGCUAUGUGGAUGAUAUGGUGGAGGGCCUAGACAAACUUGCCAAAUUUUGGAAAAUUUGAUGGAGUCAAAUGGUGAUGGAACCUAUCUAGAUGGAUGGGGGAUGUCAAUAGCUACUCAACGAGCUAAAGAACGCGAAAAUCAGACUCCGGAUGUGAAAGUUAUGGACAAAACGGUGAAACGGGAAAAGCUGAAUUGCCAGGGGCCGGACAUCCGGGGCUCGGGCCGGAUUUCCGGGACCUGAUGUCCAGAACCUUGCGCGAAAAUGCGCUCCAGGAGCCGGAUGUCCGGGCUAAUGGCUGGAUGUCCGGGAUGGCCGGAUGUCCGGGGGUCGGGCUGGAUGUCCGGGCUCCAAAUCCGAGGAUGAACUCGAGGAACUCGAUUUUGGGGCGGAAAUUGAAUGAUUUCGGGGGCAAAAUUUGAUGGAUUUCGUGGAUGGAAAGUGGGGAAACUUGGGGAGAUGCUAGAUCCACUCGAAACCAAGCAAAUCCGUGGAUCAAAAUCAACAAAACAUCAUCAACCAACAAAUAACAAAAAAAAUUGGGGGCUAUUUUUGGUGGGGAUUUUCGGAUUUAGGACGAAAUCAACAAAAUCAAGCUAGAAAACAAAGGGUAGGGGCUCCAAAAACGUGAUCAACGUGGCUCAUGAUACCGAGAUGAUGUAGGGCGGAGCCCUAGUUGCCGAUCUUUCACGUUUGGAGGGGAAUCCUACCAAGAACACGAAGAACAAACGGAGGGAAGCGAGAGGAGAACACGAGAAAACACUCAACCAACGAGAAUAAAGUCACACAUGUGCUAAAUCAUUGAGACACAAAGAUAUACACGAUCCACAAUCAACAAGGGACGAUACAUAGGGUAACCGGUUCUUCUCCGAGAGGAUGUCUUGAAUCCGCGAGGGAAUCUUCCCGUAAAGGGGUCUUGAAUCUAGGUGGAUCUUCUCCGAAGAGGCCGCGGUCUCUCACAAGGAGGAGAUCCGUAUGGAUGAGCAAAGCUCUAUCUCAAAUGAGCUAAGCCAAUGCUAACCCUAAAACGUAGGUGGAGGGGGAGUAUAUAUAGUCUAAGGGGCGAAGGGGUACAUGGGCUUUCGGCCUGGAUACACUGCACGCAGGCAGUAGGGGCCGGAUGUCCGGGCUUUCCCAAGACGCCGGAUGUUCGGGCGUUGGGGCCGGAUGUCCGGGCUGGCGAGAUCCAGCUUCUGGACGUUCUGUGACGGGGCGCCGGAUGUCCGGGCUGUGGCCAGAUGUCCGGCGGCUCGCGAGGGGCCGGAUGUCCGGGCCUGGUGGCCGGAUGUCCGGGCUGGCUUGGCCGACUCUGGUGCUCUCUGGAUAGAAGGGGGGCGGAUUUCCGGGCGUUGGGCCGGAUGUCCGGGCCUGGCCGGAUGUCCGGCUGCUGUAGCAGCAGGCUCUUCUUCCUUCUCCUUCCUUCGCUCCCGUGCACACUUGGCCUUGGUCCUUGGGCUCUCCAUGGUCUCCACGGGUGUACCUGAGUAUGCACAAGGUCCGCUCUUGAGGUAGCAUCCAUGUCUUACAUGCGGAAAGGGAAGAUUCGGAAAGGAGCGAGUUCACCUUAGAUCCAAAGGUGUAUGCUCGAGGGCUCAUCGUAUGGACAUUUGGGGCUUGGGGAGUAGUCGUAAUGUACAUGGGGAUGAUCGUAGGAUGCUCCUCAUCAGUUGUGGUAGCACCAAUUGAAGAUAAGCUUGUCCAACAUCGUCUGAGAUGGUUUGGGCAUAUUCAGCGCAGGCCUCCAGAAGCUCCAGUGCAUAGCGGAUGGCUAAAGCGUGCGGAGAAUGUCAAGAGAGGGCGGGGUAGACCGAAUUUGACAUGGGAGGAGUCCGUUAAGAAAGACCUGAAGGAUUGGAGUAUCACCAAAGAGCUAGCUAUGGACAGGGGUGCGUGGAAGCUUGCUAUCCAUGUGCCAGAGGCAUGAGUUGGUUGCGAGAUCUUAUGGGUUUCACCUCUAGCCUACCCCAACUUGUUUGGGACUAAAGGCUUUGUUGUUGUUGUUGUGUAUUGCAUUAUCGUGUGGAGUAUCGAGCAGUCAUCUGAGAUAUUAACGCUAAGAGCUUGGUUGUAACUAUUUUAUUUGUCAACUCCGUAAUGAUAGUUGUUUGGUGCGUGGAUAAGCACUCAUGUGUUCACCCUUUUAGUUUUUCUUUUAGCGUAACAGGACUGGGACUUUGCCCUUCAUUUUAGAUGAGUGUCAUGAUCCUUUUUUUUUAAGCUUGAAGUGUUAGGAUCUUAUGGACAGGCACCUAUGGAAAUCAGCUAUGCAGCUUUUUACAUUGUGAUUUCACUCAUGCAAUACACUCUAGAUGCAGCAAAUAAACAUUGGUAACAAAAUCACUCUUAGCUUCUCAGCUUCAAGUAUUAUAUAGACAUAAUUGAUUACUGUUAUAUACCAUCCCAAUGUAAAGUUGCAUCAGGACCAUAUGCUAGUCUAAUCACUAUGUUGUUAUGUUUUCCAGAUUAAAGGAAAUCCGCUGGAAGGGAUUUCAUGGAAGUUUAAGAACUUGAGGUUUGCAGAGCUGACUGCAAUUUUGGCAAACUCCCAAGCAUCAGGUCGAUAUUUUCUUUGCUGAGAUUUGGCCCUCACCUUGAAGAACUCCAGAUUUUGGUAAUAUAAGAUGCACCCCUUGAACCUGUAUGUCUCAGUUAACAGACAACCGUUGCUGCAUUGAGUUGUUUAAUUGACACUGCAAUUUUGGACUUCCUUAUGUAGGCAGAGAAUCGUUCCGACCUAUUCAAAAAUCUAGAUCCUGCUGCGCUAGAUGAUGCUGUCCGUGCUGACACCAUUGAUCAGGAUAUUCUUGAUGCAGAGAUAAGCGAUGACUUGUUUGCCAAUCUCAAACACAUCUCACUGCAUGGUAUGGGUUCCUUACGAAAUGACAUGUGGUUUAUGAAGUCUCUGCUAUCCAAGACAGGAUUGCUUGAAUCGUUUGUCGUCACUUUCAACUAUGGAGAAGAAACCGAAUCUUAUGUGGAAGCAUGUGAAGAGUUAGAAGCAUGCGAAAAGGCGUCCCCCCAAGCUCAGCUGGAACUAAGGCCUCGAAAAUUUCCAGCCUCAAACCUGGAGGACUCUCGAGUACUUUCAAAACUCCAAUCCUUUCAGUUGCUAACUGCUUAAACCAUGGAUGAAUAAAAGAUGUAGGUGUUGACUGUUGUCGUAUGAACCUCUAGCUUGUUUUCCUUUUUGAGGUGGAUUUGCACCAAUUUCCAUGUCUGUGACUGGUUGUUUCAGAUGCACAGAUGAACCAAGAUAUGGUACAUUUUGUAGAUCCCCAGAAGUGCCUCAUGUAGUUAUAUCAACUCUAUGAUAUGGCAGAAUGUUCAUAGACAGCAUUUAUUCAGUAAUGCUGAACUGAGCUCUUACGAAUGCCUUGCAAGCAGAAUUCUGCUUUCUUUUGCAGAUUGUAUAAUCCCUGUUGUGUUUACCGAUAGUCUACUAUGUUGGCAUUUCUGGUGUUGACAGACAACAGGAGAUACUGGUAACCAUCGUGCAUCUUUUGAGAAAAAGUUACGUCGUGUCUGAAUUGAUGGUUUCAAAUCAAAAGGGUAUUGCGAAUUUGCGCUGGUGAAUGUGUUUGACAGGCUGUUGGUAGAUGUUACCACUUACCAUUUAUUAUCUUUUCUUGGCUCAAAACGAUCUCAAUAUCAAGGUUGUUAUUUUGCUGAAACCGUAUGCUUUUCAGGUCCAUAUUGUACUAACCUUCAGUCAAUGGUGUGAUGCUUUAUGCCACAAGCAAGCAAGCAAGAGCGCCCGCACACACCACACACAUUUGUGGCCUCCUGAUCGAGGACGAAGUAAACUCAAGUGAGUAAUUCCGAGAGAAAACCGUCCGUCCAUGGAGGGAACUGCUCGUCGACGCCGCUGCUUCCAGAAGGAGCCACGUUGAUCAGUUGGGUUGGUUCACUUCAGGAGAAGAAGGAGCAGCCAGAGUAUUGCUGGACUCUGCGAUGAUGGGGCUGAAGGUUGCCAUUUGCCACCCUUCUCAUGAGAUACCCUAUUCCCCCCCUCUUCUUCUUCUUCUUCUUCGUCGAUUUGUUCUUGAACUUGCUUAGCCUUCAAAGCUAGAUUGGACUUCUUGGACCCAAGAGGGAGGUAGUAAGCCUUUCUUUUUUGAAUGUGGAACACAAUUGUUGGUUGGUUGCUGAGGAAGUAGUGCUCCAAGAAACUUGCUAGUGGGCCUUCACUGGGCUAGUGGCUCGAAACCAUAGGUAAUCUUAAUGGGCUAUUCAAUAUAUGUGCUGUCCUCACCUAUUGAGUCACUCAUUGGUGGAGGAGGAGCCAAUGGCCUGGCUUGGACUACCCGAUGUCACUUCUGCCAGAGAUGCUUGACAACAUCUUCGCUCGGCUCUCUUUUAAGAAGUUGGUCGGUUUUACCAAAAUAUUCGCGCAACUUGUAAAAAAUUUGAAAGCAUAAAAAAGAAGUUCAUGACAAUUAAAAAAUAUUCCGGUAUUUAGGAAAAUGUGUAUACAGUGUAAAAUUUUUUUGUGACUACAUAAAAAAUGUUUCAUACAAAUAAAAAAAUGUAUGUGACAUUUUAGAAAAAAUGUUUACUUAUUUCAAAUAUGUACGACACAUUUUUGAAAAAUAUUUAUACAUUUUUUUAAAAUACGUACUGUAAAAUAAUUGUUUCUUACCAUUGGAAAAAAUGUAUGUCACAUUUUGAGGAAAUAUUUGCUCGUUUCUAAAAUGUUCGUGGCAUUUUAACAAAUGCCUAUACAAUGAAAAACAUGUUUAAUUGGUUUUACAAAAAUGUUUCAUGCCAAUUAAAAAAACUCUAACAUGAAUUUGAGAAAUGGUAACAUGUAUCGAGUUCGAAUCGUGGCAGAUAUCAGCCUGCCGUAAAGGUGCUCGAGAAGCAUGGGCCAUGAUCAAGACAUGCUAGUGUCUGCUAGAGAUGGAGGAACUAGCCCGAGUUGGCCUUGCGGGGCCUGACGGGGAAGAAAUAAAAACUAGCGUGAAUUAUGAGAACGUCAUGCCUGCAGCUCGGCUAUCCGAUAAGGAUUGUCGCCUGGACACACUUAUAGAUGGUUUUGAAUAACUUUAUGUAAAAUAGUUUAUGCUAUUUUACGUAACCUUUAUGUAUCUAUGUACGUUUAGUUUAUAUCUCAUAUCCGCAGAUGUUAUACUUCGUUAACCAACUAUCGGAUUCUACCUCUUCGGUCAGGGGCCGAGGAGUGUUCCUACAAAUGGACCGAGAGUAUCGAACCACACUUAGAAGGAACAAGGCAAUCCAGCCAUAAGGUCAAAACGUAAGUCUCGCAGAGAGUUAUGCUAUAUUGCUUUUUAACUCAAGUCGCAUCUUUAGCGAAAAAUAGUUCCUCUAUCAGUUCCUUUUCCCGGGGUGUCGAUUUAACUGCGACCAGGUAGCCAAUAAUUCCGGCACUUGCGUCUGAGGACCUUUAUUUCAGGAAUAUUUUUGGAUUCGACGGGUUUGAAAUCUCGUUCUACUUCUGUUUUGAAGAGAAGACUAUAUUUUCACUUCCUUCGCUGAUGACCAAUUAUAUUCUUGUGACCGCUAGUUUUCGGCUUCACCCGUCUGAGUUACUUACUCGGUCAAUCCGGAAGUAACAAUCGUAGAGUUGCUCUCCUUAGCCUCUAGCCGAAUGUGCCGGAAGCGUAGAGGGUAAGCACAAGAGUGAGGCAACUCGGCUUGGCAAAAUAUCUCAAGUCAAAUUGAUGCAUAUCGUGGCUUUAUAACGAAUUGUAGGAAGGCGUCACCUGUCAUACGCGUGUGGUGCCGAUAAUGCAAGCACACGCACACGUGUUUGGUAUGCCCCUAGUUUUGCAUCCAAGGCACUACAUUGUCCAUACGGUCACACAAUAGUUGUAGUAUUAACGGCACACGAAGUUGCAACACCCCAUCCCUCCCACCGUCAUUGUCUGUAAUUCCCCAAUGGAGAGAAUGGCAGCGUGAGUUCCUCCUCCAUGAGACACCGGUAGGUUGAGGAGGUAUUGGUGACUGGCCCGGAUUAAUUGAUGUUGCUUCCACCGGAGAUGCUCGACAACAUCCUCGCUCAACUCCCAUUUGAGAAGUUGGUCAGUGGUGUAUACAAAAUGUUGGCACAACUUUAAAAAAUGUUGAUAGCAUUAAAAAAUGUUUGUCACGAUUACAUUUUUUUUGUAUUUCAAAAGAUAUAUGUGAUUUUUAAAUGUGUAUACAAUGUAAGAAAAAGUGUGUGCAUUGCAAAAAAAAUGUUUCGUCCCUAUAAAAAUGUAUGUUACAUUUAAGAAAGAAUUCACGUACUUCAAAAAUAUGUAUGUCACAUUUUUUGGAAAUACUUAUACAAUGUGAAUGAAUUUUUGCGUAGUAUAAAAAUUUGUUUUGUACAAUUCAAGAAAAUGUAUGUGACAAUUCAAAGAAAUAUUCUUGUGGUUUUAAAAAUAAGUUCAUGAAUUUAUAUAGAAAUGUUUAUACAAUACUAAAAAAUGUUUGAGUGGUUUAAUAAAAAAGAAAUCGUCCCAAUUCAAUAAAUGUACAACGUGUAUUUGAAAAAUGGUCGUAUCGAACAAACGUCCGAAGCAUGAAUGGAGAAACAACUCUAGGCCAAAAUUUAUAGUUUGCAUACUAAAUAUACACUUGAGUUUUUAUACUCAAAUAGCAUAAAAAUUGUGUUAACCAUAUAUAGAAAAUUUUAACUAUAUCCAAGAACUUUCAACAUUUUAUGUGGCGUACAGCCUUGUGUCCUAGCUAACAAUGGAAAAAGUUAACUUCGAGCGGUCUUUCUGGGUUGCGUGAUGCAUAACUUAUGUACUUAUCUACAGAUCAACACGUAUUUUGUGUCGCCACUCUACUUAGAGAGAAAAAGGAGUGUAAAUUGCGUGAAAUCAAAAAAUGUACGAGUGUAAACCGCAUGAAACCAGGAAGCCAAAAGUAUAAACUGCAAGAAAAUAUAAAAAAUCUCUUGGGGUCAGGCUUAUUUUGUUUGGUCUUACCUAUAGCCAAGGGAGGAGCUAGGUUGCACUAAGCGAUAGCACACUACUAUGGUUCACUACAAUAUCCUACACAUGUGUGCAUGGACAUUAUGCCCCGAAUGUGGCUAGGGGUUGGGUCAGCUCCACCCCCGGUUAUGAUCUAACCAUAUAUUGAAAGCUUUAACAACUUAAGCAAAUAUUUAACCCCCACACAAAUUAACCAUAUGUGGUUCAAACUUUUGUGUCCUACCUAAACAUGAGAAAAUGCAUAUGGAAGUAUUUAAUUUAUGACAAAUAGAUCAUUGCAAUAAGGAUGAUGACAUCAUGUAGACAGUAAAACUAUCAUCCAAGUGAUCAUCAGACUUCAUAGGUUGCUAGAACCUCCAGUAGACUCCUUUCCCACCGUGUUCGCGGAUCUUUCCCAAAUCAGGGAGUGACAAGCCACAAUUCAUUACACUCUAUAGAGGUGCUCUACUUAAUCCACGAGCGAUUCACUUAGCUCUUUUGCCAAGUUUGUAAUGCACAUCCAAGAUGCAUGGCCGGGUCUAAGAUCCGAGUCUUUCACCCUUUCAUGUCUGACGAUGCCCCUGCCCCUGGCUCAAGAGGUAUUGUGUGUGUCACCCGAAAUCUGUAACAGGUAAGGUUUAUAUGGCCCCAUGACCGAUGAACAUUUAUGUCGCCCUGGCGAUCAAGGAUUGACGACCCUUGUCGGAGUAAUGGGCCACGGGUAGCCUAACCCGAGUCCCUGAGCAUUUCAAGACUUUGGGCCGGCUUCGCCUCGCGAGACUCCAGAAUGAAGCACCGCCUUCCGGUGACCGGCUGGCUCGAACCGCCCGAAGGCGGCCGAGCACCAGCCGACGGCGCCAAGACCGGCCGACUCCUAGCAGACGGCCUCCGGAGAGGCCGACUUCUAGCAGGCGGCCACCCGGUGCCCUCAAAGUCUGCGCCUCUCGUCAAGAGGACAAGACAGGGUGAGGCUACAGUGUAGCCCCUCACCCCCGGAUCCCGGGCUCGACAUGGCUACAGUGCCCCAUACAGGCGGAGAUCUUCACACGACGCAGGACUGUAGCCACUUCCCCUUUGACGCCACUUCUGACCGGCGGAGCCCUAUUCCCACGAUGGUCUGUCGGUACGGCCCGCAGGCGGCGGGCCCUACCCGGCAGAGAGAGCCCAGAAGACGGCGGAAGCCAGACCAGCCGGAUCCACAGGAGGCCGGCCUCCAGCAGGCGGCCAGUCCCUCCCUCAAGAUCCGUAUGCCAUUAAUCAGAUGAGGCGUGGUGUGGCUACAAUGAACUCCCACCAGGCGGCGGGACUAUAGCCACGCUCCCCUGACCAAGCCUGCGUCAUUAGCAUCACGACUACAGUGACCAGCCACCAAUCAGACCCGCCAGCGGCGGGAGCGGCCUGUCAGCUCCGUACCAGAUCAGUCGGAGGGACCCACCAGGCGACGGGCCCCAGCUGCCGGCGGAGAAGCCGGCGACCAGAGGCGCUGACAGCCGGGCUCUACACCCGGCCAAGUUACCAUUGUACCCCUGGGGGUUAAGCCUAUAUAAACCCCCCAGGGCACCCAUGCAAAGGGUUCCCAACCUGUUAGAACUAGACUCAUACCUAGAGGAAGAAGAGAGCUAGCCCUGCCUCCUUCUACUUCUAGCACACAGCUCAAGGAGCACCUUGUACUCACUAGUGCCUUAGUGAUCAUGCGGAGACCCCGCAGAGCAGGAGUAGGGAUGUUAUCUCCAAGGAGAGCCCCAAACCUGGGUAAAGUACGCAGGCGUUCUUGUCUACGCCUUAUCCCGCUUCCAGGCACCGACGACGUUCUACUCGCAACCACCAUGAUAAGCCAUCCUUUGGCAUAUGUCGCACCCAACCCCCGACAUUUGGCACCCACCGUGGGGGUGCACCGUCGUCCGGAGAUCUGCUCUGGACGGGAACCUUGUUCCUUCCUGGCGAGCGCAGCUAGGCCAGCACGCCCGACGGUGUCAGCCUCGACGCGCUGCGCGGCGCGGAGAUCGCCUAUGCAGCAAGCUGCCUCGCCGACCUCGUUGGCGAGAUCAGCCUCUCCGACAAGCAUGCAUCCGAUGCAGGCACCGACUGCCCCGAGAACCGUCUCGUCAGCCUCCUCGACCAGCUCCACGUCACCAGCGAGCCUGCUGUCGACUUGGAGUCUGUUGGCUCCAUCGACCCGAUGAUCGUCGACUCCGACACGGCAUCGCUUGACGCGUUCCCCACCAACGUGGUGGUCUACGACAAGCCACCUCCUCGAUAGCACAGUGGCGGGAUCACCGUCAUGAAGGUAUUUGUCAUCACUAGUGGUGAGCACUCGGACGGAGGCGCGCGAGACCCACUCGACGUGGCGCUGCGAGACCUGUCGGCGCCUAUCCCGGGUGACGCAGACGCUGAGACUCUGGAGGCACGCCGCGUCCAGCUCAUCGAAAGUGCCAACCGACUGGCCAGCAUGCGACGCCUCUCGGAAGCCUACUAGCGCGAGAUGGACCGAGCUGUCGGUGGCACGCCGGCUCCUGAGGGGCCUUGCCGCAUCGGCUCGAUCCGGUAGCGUGGCGCGACCAUCGCCAGCAUGUUCGAGACGGAUCGUCCCGUCUACGCCACGCCUGCGAGAACAUCUGGGCUGCCCAGGCAGUGAUGGAUGAGCUGGACAAGUACGAGGGCGACGAGCGUCGCCACAUGACGGAGCGAUUCCAACAGCUCCUUGACGCGGCUGCCGAGCAGCACGAAGCCAGCUGCCGCGCCGAAGCGCCCAUCCGGCAGAACGGCGAGUCGCCCCUUCGCCAGGAUCUCGGCGCGACAUCUCAGACGUCGACUGGCGGCGUCCGUAGUAAGAAAGGCAACGAGCCGGCUGCCAGCCGCAGUGGGACUCAUCUCUCCAUCGAGCGCGACACAUAUGGCCGUCCCCGAGCCGUGGAGCGGUGAGGUGAUCCUUCUCCUCCUCAGCCUCAUGGAGAAAGGCACCCCACUCCACCGCCUGUCACGCACCUGACACUCGGCGACCGCCUCGGCCGCCGGGAGGGAGUCAGCGAGAACGACGCCCGCCAUCGGAUCGAUCACCUCAACCGAUCCCUGGCGCUAGAAGAAGAAGACGCGUUGGGCCCGCCCUGUUUUGGCCCACGAAUCCGAGAUGAGCCUUUCCCUCGGGGGUUCACGCUCCCAAGGGAUACACCCAAGUACACCGGCUCCGUGAAGCCGGAAGACUGGCUCGUCGACUACUCCACGGCCGUCAGCAUAGCGAACGGCAACAAGCGCGUUGCCGUGAAGUACGUCCCGCUCAUGCUCCAAGGCACAUCCCGGACGUGGCAUAACAGCCUGAAGCCCCGCAGCAUCAACAGUUGGGUUGAUUUCACCGAAGCCUUCAUCCACAACUUUACUAGCACGUACAAGCGGCCUCCCAAGCCUUGCCAGCUCUCCUUGUGCGUCCAACAGCCCAACGAAUCGACUCGCGACUACCUCACACGCUGGGCCGAGCUGCGCAACUCCUACGAGGGCGUGCACGAGGUGCAGACCAUCGAAUACUUCACCGCCAGGUGCCGAGAGGGCACCCUCCUCAAGCAUUGACUCCUCUGCGACGAGCCGACGACUCCCGAUGAACUGCUGAUCAUCACCGACAAAUACGCCACAGCCGACUCCUCCAUGAAGGCGGAGAUCCAAGUCGACGCGUCAGGAAAAGUAGCUCCCUAGGCUCCUCGGACCCCGGCUGGUGACACCAGUCGGCGACAGCAACCCAGCGACAACAAGCGCAAAGCCACGCAACCGGCUUCCACCAGCCGGCAGGUGGCGAUAGCUGAAGGCCAGCAGCCGGAGGGGCAGCCCCCACCAAAGCGCCAGAAGGGCGGCAAGCCUAAUUGGUUGCCCGCCUUCUCGUACGAGCAGACUCUUCAUGCCCCCCGCAAGUUCCAUAGUGGCACGAAGCCGUCCAACCACACCACUCGGAAGUGCCACUGGCUCGCCAGAAUCGCCAAGGGAGACGGACUCCUGCCUCCUCCGCCUGCCGGCCCGCCGCCUCCACCGCCCCAGCAGCCGACAGCUCGGCCAGUCGGCACCAUACAAGAUGAGUAUCCUGUGGAGCAUGGAGCCUACGUUGUGUUCACCAGUGUGACCGAUGACAGGCGCAACAGGCGGCAACAGCAGCAAGAAGUACAUGCAGUAGCGUCAGAGACUCUAGAGUUCAUGCACUGGUCCGAGAAGCCCAUCAGUUGGAGCAGGGCUGACCACCCAGAGGUGAUGCCCUCCCCUGGUUCGUAUGCCCUGGUCUUAGACGCCACCUUCACAACAGAGAGGCGGGCAGCUCGCUUCUCCCGAGUCCUGAUAGAUGGCGGCAACAACAUUAACAUCCUGUACCGUGACACAAUGGCGAAGUUGGGAAUCAAGCAGAAGCAGCUUCAACCCAGUCGGACUGUAUUCCAUGGCAUAGUUCCUGGCCUUUCCUGCUCACCAAUCGGCAAGACCCAGAUCAAUGUUCUCUUCAGGGACAAAAAUCACUUCCGCCGAGAGUCAAUUUGGUUUGAGGUGGUGGACCUUGAGAGCCCUUAUCAUGCGAUACUUGGCCGACCUGCUCUGGCCAAGUUCAUGGCGGUCCCCCACUAUGCUUACCUCAAGAUGAAGAUGCCGACUGCCAGGGGGAUCCUGACCAUAGUCGGAGACUACAAGAAGUCGUCCGCCUGUGCUGCAGACAGUAGCCAGCUGGCCGAGUCGCUUGUGAUUGCAGCUGAAAAACGGCUCCUUGACCGGGUUGUGGCGAUGGCAGGCAAGUAGCCGGAAAUGUCACCUCCACCCAAGGAGUUGGAAGUUGAGGGCUCGUUCAAGCCGGCGAAGGAAACAAAGAAGAUACCCUUGGACCCGGAGCACUCGUAGAGGCACGCUCUCAUUGGAACAAGCCUUGAUAGCAAAUAGGAAGGCAAGCUCGUCGAUUUCCUCUGUGAGAAUCGUGACAUCUUUGCAUGGUCUCCCAAAGACAUGCCGGGUGUCCCGACGGAUUUCGCCGAGCACAAGCUACAGGUCCGACCUGACGUCAAGCCGGUCAGGCAGCCCUUGCGCCGCCUGUUAGAAGAAAAGAGAAGAGUUGUUGGAGAAGAGAUAGCCCGACUUCUAGCAGCCGGCUUCAUCAUGGAAGUAUUCUUCCCAGAGUGGUUGGCCAACCCAGUUCUUGUGCUGAAGAAGAAUAAACAAUGGCGCAUAUGUAUUUAUUAUACCAGCCUCAACAAAGCUUGCCCCAAAGAUCCCUUUGCUUUGCUAAGAAUCGACCAAGUGAUAGACUCCACAGCCAGAUGCGAGCUACUGAGUUUUUUGGAUGCAUACUCAGGGUACCAUCAGAUCAAGCUGAACCCGGCCAAAAGGCUGAAGACCGCCUUCAUCACGCCCUUCGGAGCCUUCUGCUACCUGACCAUGACGUUCGACUUGAGGAAUGCCGGCGCCAUGUUUCAGCGUUGCAUGCAAAGGUGUCUCCUCAAGCAACUCAGUAGAAAUGCCCAUGUUUACGUGGACUAUGUGGUGGUGAAGACGAAGAAGCGUGGCAUGCUGCUAGAAGACCUAAAAGAGAAAUUUGAGAACUUGCGCCAAUUUCAAAUCAAGCUCAACUCGGAGAAAUGCGUCUUUGGAGUACCAGUCGGCCAACUUCUUGGCUUCCUGGUCUCAGAGCGCGGCAUAGAGUGCAACCCUGUGAAGAUCAAGGCCAUCGAGAAGAUGGAGGUGCCCGCCCGACUGCUGGACGUACAAAAGUUCACCGGCUGCCUGGCAUCUAUCAGCUGUUUCAUCAGUCGGCUGGGUGAGAAGGCUCUCCCCCUGUACCAGCUCAUGAAGAAGACCACUUUUUUGAGUGGAACGACAAGGCGGAUGAAGCUUUCCGCCAGCUCAAGAAGAUGUUGACCACCCCUCCUAUCCUGGCGGCCCCGACUGACAAGGAGCCCAUGCUCCUCUACAUCGCCGCCACCAGUCGGGUGGUCAACACAGUCAUAGUGGUGGAGCGCAAGGAGGAAGGCAAAGCAUUGCCAAUCCAGAGGCCGGUGUAUUACCUGAGUGAAGUGUUGUCCGCCUCCAAGCAAAACUACCCCCACUAUCAGAAGAUGUGCUAUGGUGUGCACUUUGCCCCCAAGAAACUCAAGCCUUACUUUCAAGAGCACCCAACUACUGUUGUCUGCACCGCUCCGCUUGCUGAGAUCAUUGGAAGCCGAGAUGCUUCAGGCCGAGUGGCCAAAUGGGCCAUAGAUCUGCCCCCUACACCAUCUACUACCAGCUUCGCACCGCCAUCAAGUCACAAGCGCUGGCCGACUUCCUCGUCGACUGGGCCGAGACCCAGUACCUGCCGCCAGCGCCAGACUCCACCCAUUGGUGGAUGCACUUUGAUGGUUCAAAAAUACGCACCGGUCUAGGAGACGGCAUCGUCCUCACCUCUCCCAAGGACGACAAGCUCAGAUAUGUGCUACAAAUCCACUUCGCCGCCUCCAACACCGCAUCUGAAUACGAGGCGCUCAUACACGGGCUCCGGCUUGCCAAGGAACUCGGCAUUCGCCGGAUCCUGUGCUAUGGUGACUCUGACUUGGUGGUUCAGCAGUCGUUAGGUGACUGGGAUGCCAAGGAUGCAAAUAUGACGAGCUACCGCUUACUCGUACAUCAACUCAGUGGAUACUUUGAGGGGUGCGAGUUACUCCACGUGCCAAGAAAUGAAAACGAGCAAGCAGAUGCCCUAGCACGGAUCGGCUCCACCCGACAAGCAAUACUAGCCGGCGUCGCCCUACGGCGCCUCCUCAAGCCGUUUGUCAAGUCGUCGCCAGAAUCAGACUCCAUCUUCAUGUCGACCCCUCCCGAAGCAGUCGGUUCCGACUUGAGGGACAUAGAGGCCGGCGCGGGGACUUCAGCAGGCGGCCUGGGGACUGCGGCCGCUGCACCCGGCCCGGGGACUCCAGAGCCUGGAUCGGGGACUGCAGCAGUCAGCCCAGGGACUUCUUCAACUCAACAGGCGGCAACCGACUCCAACCCGCUACCUCCCGGCCCAACCGCCCUUGUACAAAUUGCAGUCGUGGCAGUCGAAGAAAUAGCAGCAGCAUCAUGGGCUCAACCAAUCCUCAAAUUUCUGGUGAAUAAAGAACUGCCGACUGAUGAGAUCUCAGCCCGACAAGUGCAACAACGAGCAGUAGCAUACUCCAUCGUCAACAGAGAACUAGUGCGGUGCAGUGUCACUGGGGUGUACCAGCGCUACAGGACUAGGGCCAAGCAAUCCUCAAGGAUAUCCACUAAGGUGAAUGCGGUCACCACGCGGCUUCAAGAUCACUUGUUGCCAAGGCUUUCCGCCAUGGUUUUUUCUGGCCGACUGCUCUGGAAGAGGCCAAAGAAUUGGUCCAUAAGUGUCAAGGGUGCCAGAAGUUCCGCUCCAAGCCACAUCUGCUGGCUUAUGCACUCAAGACUAUUCCCAUCGCCUGGCCCUUUGCCGUUUGGGGACUGGACAUGGUGGGACCAUUCAAGACGGCUCGCGGCGGCAUGACUCAUUUACUUGUCGCUGUGGACAAGUUUACCAAGUGGAUAGAAGCAAAGCCAAUCAAGAAAUUGAAUGGGCCGACUGCCGUGACCUUCAUCACCGACAUCACCACUCAGUACGGCAUACCACACAACAUCAUCACUGACAACGGCACAAACUUCGCCAAAGGAGCCUUGGCUCAUUUCUGCACGACGCAGGACAUCCGACUGGACUUAGUGUCCGUUGCCCAUCCGUAGUCAAACGACCAAGUGGAGCGAGCAAACGGCCUCAUUCUGUCCGGCAUCAAGCCUCGACUGGUCGAAUCUCUAAAGCGUUCGGCCGGCUGCUGGCUCGAUGAGCUGCCGGCCGUCCUCUGGAGCCUGCGCACAACUCCGAACAAGUCGACCGGCUUCACACCCUUCUUCCUCGUCUACGGUGCCGAGGCCGUCAUCCCAACGGACAUAGAAUUUGACUCCCCACGAGUAACCAUGUUCACCAAGGCGGACGCCAAGGAAGCACGAGAAGACGGCGUCGACCUGCUGGAAGAGGGCCGGCUGUUGGCACUCAGCCGGUCCGCCAUCUACCAGCAGAGUCUGCGCCGAUACUACAACCGCAAGAUGAAGCAAGAUCCUUCCAAGAGGGAGACCUUGUGCUCCUGCUGAUCCAGCGAACAGCCGGCCAGCACAAGCUCUCAGCGCCUUGGGAAGGCCCUUUCAUCAUCAGCAAAGUGAUGGGCAACAAUUCCUACUACCUGAUCGAUGCUUAGAAGCCCAGAGCAUGCGAAAGAGACGACUCAAGCAAGGAGAUGGAGAGGCCAUGGAACGCAAACCUCCUCCGAAGAUUUUACAGUUAAAAGCAGUAUGUAUCACCCUACCUUUUGUAUUAAGUACGAAGACUCCGGGUCCCCCGAGAAGAGCUCGGGGACUACCCUUUUUUAUCUAUAUGAUAAGAAUUAUGCCCAUGAAUGUGUUGUUUCAUUAUUCCGCCUGGCACUUGGCUCGACUAGUCGGCCCAGGGGGCUCGCCUCCUUCUACUAUGCGUCAUCUCCUGCAGUCGGACAAGUAGUAUGUCGGCACCAAAAAACUUCUCCUGUCAGAAGCCGCAGCUCGCAGAGCGACUGUACAGUGGACAGGAGUUGCCUGAGCAGUGCCCAUACGAAAAACGGCUAAGGAAAAAGUGCGCAUAGCCGAGGCCGGCAUCCCGCCUACUCGACCGGCUGCUGAGCAGCCGGCCGGCCGGUUUUUACUUACCUUGCCAAUGCCCCAAUCGAUUAAGUACUUGCCCUCCGAAAGAAGCUAAACACUUGGCCCAGCUGCAGUCCGCAGAGCGGCUGUCCGGCUGGCCAGGGGAUAGCAAAGGGAGAGCGGCAAAGAAAAAUAGCGAGGGGCAGAAAGCAAGAAAAGUUAGAACUCGGCAAAUAAAGCAUAAUUUAUGACAAAGAAUAUUUACAUAGCAAAGGCCCAGUGGCCAGCAUUCAGCAAAGUUUGAAAUACACCCCGCGGGUGGAAUUGUGCGAAUUUAACCAAAAGUCUAUCGAGAACGAUAAGCAGGAAAAUAAAGGCGAUGGCCUAAGGAGCAGCAUAAGGUUCCGACUGGGCAGUGGAGUCGGCAGCGCCGGCUGGAGCAGCGGAUGGCUAGACAGCUGAGUCGGCGGCACCGAUUGGUGGAACGGAUGACUGGUCUGUCGCUGCCUGGUCGCCUCCAGCAGAAGUUGGCGUACUUGAGUGUGGAUCGUUGCUCGAGGCGCAGUCAGGCUGAGGCUGGCCGUCCGCUCCGACCUCCGGCACGUCCUCUUUGCUGUCCUCAUCCUCCGCGUCCUCCCCUUCAUCGCUGGAAUCAAUCACCUCGACCGAAUCUUUGAUGUCCUCUGGAUUCAGCCCGAACCACUCCGGCGGCGCUUCGGCGCCUUCAUCAACCAACUCCGCGAUGAAGACGCUGGUGUUGGUGUAGUCGACGAUCGCCGCCGCCCGCUUGACAAGCUCGCCCUCCACCGCCGCCAGCUCCUCCAGCGCCUCCUGCCAGAACGUGGUCAACUAGGCUAGAUCCAGCCCAGGGUACCACGCCCUAACGAAUUCCAAAGCCUGGCACGCUCCAGCCCGGGCCGAAGAACCCUUCCAGGCCUCCAGGCGGCCGGCCGCCACCUCCAGCCAGUCAGCAGUCCGACUGGGUGUGUGCGGGGCCGGCACGCCUGGCCAGAGGGCAGAAAUCGCCUGGGCCCCGACGCGUUGAAGAUGACGCAACAUCUGGUGAGCCGACCAAAGGCGGGCCUGGAUGCUGAGAAGCUGCUCGUUAAGUGUCCGGGGAGCAUCGGUGGCAAUCUGCACGCCCUCUGCCCUCCGCUCCUCGUGAGAGGCCUCAAUGGCCUGGUUUGCGACAGCGGAGUGGCCUGGGAAGAAGUCUGUGUGGGCGAAAAAGCAAACAAGACAUAAGUUAAAAGCAUACGGUCGGCCCAGUCCAGAGGCCAGCAGCUCAAAGAAAGAAAAAAGAGGAAACUUACCGAAGACCAUGUCCUCGACACUACCGAAGCCGGCAGACAGCGGCGCCUCCUUUUUGGCCCAGAUGGAGCGCUCGAUCUCAAACUCAGCAAGGAGGUCGGUCUCCUUUGUCUUCGCCUCCUUUUGAGCCGUCUGGAGACGCUCCGUCUGCUCCGCCAGCUGUGUAACCAGUCGGUCACGCUCCUCGGCCAGCUUACUGCACUCCGCCGCCUUGGCGCGCAGCGCGGUGUUGGUUUCACCCAGCUGCUGCUGCAAGGCGGCAUUGGCCUCUGCCAACAAAGAAGAAGGGAAAAGACAUCAACAUUCGACAAGAAAAGGAUGCAGUUGCUUGGGAGAUCCGACCCGACUGCUCAGCAGUCGGCCCGAAUCUCGGGGACUACAGCCCGCGGGUGCGCCAUCGCGCCCCCACAGAAGAAGAAGUUAUCAAUGAUCAACCAAAGAAAUGCAAUUGCCGGGGAGAUCUGGCCCGACUGCUCAGCAGUCGGCCCGAAUCUCGGGGACUACAGCCCGCGGGUGCGCCAGCGCGCUCCCGCAGGAAAGGAAAGCCAAGACUUACUCCGGCUCUCUGACAAGUUGGCGGUCUGCCUCUCCAGCUCCCGGACUUCAGAGUUGAAGGUGGCCGCGAAGGUUGUGAUAAUCCUGUAAUAAAGAUGUCAGAAGGAGUUAGCACCUGGUGCUUGCAAAGUUAAAGUUCCGGACCGCCUGCUCAGCAGCCGACUCGAAACUUGGGGACUACACCCAGUGGGUGCGCCAGCGUGCCCCCACCAAGAAAUAGAAAAAAAA